CCAAAGAAGAAGUGAACCAAAAUUUAGAGAGAAGGCUUGUAACAGUUUGAGGGCUCUUUCUGAAAAGCAUAUGAUACAACAACCCCUCUUGUGACAGUUCUGCAAAAGCAGUAGUGUGAAUGUUCUGCUGGACACAUGGCUUUUAACCCAAACAGGAGCAGUGCCUGUGUACUGCAAUGUUUCAUCUAGUCUGAGUCUUGAACACCACCUCUCAAAGCUCAGUUCUUCAUAAGCAUCCACAUGGCCAUGAAGGUCAAAUUAGCCAUUACUUUGAUGGCUGUCUUUGGCAUUAUGGUCCAGGAGGCAAACUUGAGAUUACUGAGAGUACAGCAGCAGUUCUGAAAGCCUGAGACUCUCUUCCAGUUAUGUUCCUUUCAAUCAUUUUAUUUGCUGGCUGCAAGUAGUAUUCCUUUUGGUACCUUGUAAUUUCUUUUCACAGUACUAGUGACUUUUUUAGAAAUUUGCUUUUCUCAAGCAGCACACACGCUUUCCAAAAGACUGCUUGGAAAUUUCCUAGUUAGUAAUGCAAUUAAGCAUUCAUUUACUCCCAGGAAACUUCCAUGAAUUUUGCUUGGCUGACACAGAUUUGUACAAGUUGAAGAAAACCAUAAGCUUUAACAAAAUUUCAGUUUAUCUGUUACUGAUAGCUGCAGUUUUGGUAAUUGUAUUUAGGUAGUUUAUAUGUAUAUAUUGCCUUUGUCUCUGCUUUAAGAAGUUAAAUUGCAGACUAGGAAUGUAAAAUAAACCAUUGUUGUUUUUGCCUAUUGCUGAACCAGAAAUAAUCACUUUUAAGGUUAAAAGAGAUACGGUAAUUGUGUUGGAUACAGUUUGAUGCUAAUGGUCUGAACUGCUGGCCAAACCAUGAAUCCUUUUGUGACUCAAUCUCCUCAUCUGUUGCUUCGUGUAACCAUCACAGGGGUGAUGGUGAUGCAAGUUUAAAUAUCUGAUGUUUGCAGAGUAUUCUAAAGGCUUUAAAAGUACCAAGCAUUGCUUUGACAGAUUUUUGCAUUCUGUAUCCUUUAUUUGAGCAAAAUGAAUGUUUAUGUUUUUGCUUAUGAAAUCUCUCCAUUAUAACCAAAAUUUCUAUCACACUUCAAGUUUAUCUUUAUUAAAGCUAUUAUAAAAUAAGAAAAGGGAUAAAAUACAUAAAAAGGAUCUAGUUGAUACCCGGCCUCCUUGACUGUAAGGAGGAAGAACUUACAGGUGAAAACAGCAGACAUUGUUCUAACUUCUGCACACUGCCUCCUGUCUUUCCCUGUUGGUGCUAGUUGGAUAAGCAUGUCCUAUUUAUACUUGCCAAACUACAAGGUUCUCCUCUCCACCAGAAAUGGAUCAUAGUACUCUACAUCUACAAAAGUAUGUGCUAGUUGCAGAGUGCACCAGAGAACACCAAAGGAUCUUGAAGUCUUUAGGUGUUAAGGAGAACAGAAAUGUUCCAGGACCUGGAGCAACGCUCUUGUGAAAUAGUUCAUGUUAAUAAAGAUGUGCUGCUUCCCUGUGACAGAAAGGUGAUGGUUUUUUCCUCAUGGGGUUGAAAUUUUACCUGCUAGCCCUUUUAGUACUUAAUUCGUGUGUUUGUAUUACAGGCUUUUAUCUUUGGCACAGUUCCAUGAUCAAACCUCAAGAAAUUCCAGUGUCUCGAAUAUGAAUAAUGAAUGCUGUGGAAAACAGAGGAGAAGGCACUGCUUGAACACC